GCAAAAGGUGGUUCAAUGGUAGAAUGCUCGCCUGCCACACGGGUGACCCGGGUUCGACUCCCGGCCAAGUGCA